rnacentral:rRNA from 1 species
UACGAAGGGGGCGAGCGUUGUUCGGAAUUACUGGGCGUAAAGGGCGCGUAGGCGGUUUGUCAAGUCAGGCGUGAAAGCCCCGGGCUCAACCUGGGAACCGCGCUUGAGACUGGCACGCUCGAGUUCGGGAGAGGAUGGUGGAAUUCCCAGUGUAGAGGUGAAAUUCGUAGAUAUUGGGAAGAACACCGAUGGCGAAGGCAGCCAUCUGGACCGAAACUGACGCUGAGGCGCGAAAGCGUGGGGAGCAAACAGG